rnacentral:rRNA from 1 species
CCGGUUGAUCCUGCCAGAGGUUACUGCUAUCGGAGUUCGAGUAAGCCAUGCGAGUCUAAAGGUUUCUUCGGAAGCCUUGGCGGACUGCUCAGUAACACGUGGAUAACCUACCCUUAGGACUGGAAUAACCCCGGGAAACUGGGGAUAAUACCGGAUAGAUCAGGGAUGCUGGAAUGCACCCUGAUCCAAAGCUCCGGCGCCUAAGGAUGGGUCUGCGGCCUAUCAGGUUGUAGUGGGUGUAACGUACCUACUAGCCGACGACGGGUACGGGUUGUGAGAGCAAGAGCCCGGAGAUGGAUUCUGAGACACGAAUCCAGGCCCUACGGGGUGCAGCAGGCGCGGAACCUUUACAAUGUGCGAAAGCAUGAUAAGGGGACUCCGAGUGCCAGCAUCUAAUGCUGGCUGUCCUUGUGCCUAAAAAGCACAAGAUAGCAAGGGCCGGGUAAGACCGGUGCCAGCCGCCGCGGUAACACCGGCGGCCCGAGUGGUAGCCGCUAUUAUUGGGUCUAAAGGGUCCGUAGCCGGUUCAGUAAGUCCUUUGGGAAAUCUGGUUGCUUAACAAUCAGACUGCCAAGGGAUACUGUUGAACUUGAGACCGGGAGAGGUAAGAGGUACUUCAGGGGUAGGAGUGAAA